GUUAGUUCGCUAACACAUGAUACUAAAAUUGGAAACGAUACAGCAGAGAUUAGCAUGGCCCCUGCCCUGCGCAAGGAUGACACGCAAAUUCGUGAAGCCGUUCACUCAUCUUU
rnacentral:snRNA from 1 species